rnacentral:lncRNA from 1 species
UUUCCGAGAGCCCCCAUAGGCUGCCCACCCUGCCCUGGGGUCUGGGGCCCAAGAAGGGGCAUAUUUUGCUCACUAGCUUGGGAUAAGGAUUGGGAUCAAGGCGGGGCCAAUGAUGACAUUCCGGAAGCCCUUCACAGCCUUCAGCUUGUCGCUCUCGAAGUUCACCACCAGCUUGUGGAGGCCCAUGUGGAGCGGCAGCA